rnacentral:rRNA from 1 species
UACGGAGGGUGCAAGCGUUAUCCGGAUUCACUGGGUUUAAAGGGUGCGUAGGUGGAUUAGUAAGUCAGUGGUGAAAUCUCCGGGCUUAACCCGGAAACUGCCAUUGAUACUAUUAGUCUUGAAUACCGUGGAGGUCAGCGGAAUAUGUCAUGUAGCGGUGAAAUGCUUAGAUAUGACAUAGAACACCAAUUGCGAAGGUAGCUGGCUACACGAGCAUUGACACUCAGGCACGAAAGCGUGGGGAUCAAACAGG